rnacentral:tRNA from 1 species
GGGCCCGUAGCUCAGUGGUUAGAGCAGGGGACUCAUAAUCCCUUGGUCCUCGGUUCGAAUCCGAGCGGGCCCACCA